rnacentral:rRNA from 1 species
GAUGAACGCUGGCGGCGUGCUUAACACAUGCAAGUCGAACGGGAAAUAUUUCAUUGAGACUUCGGUGGAUUUGAUUUAUUUCUAGUGGCGGACGGGUGAGUAACGCGUGGGUAACCUGCCUUAUACAGGGGGAUAACAGUCAGAAAUGGCUGCUAAUACCGCAUAAGCGCACAGAGCUGCAUGGCUCAGUGUGAAAAACUCCGGUGGUAUAAGAUGGACCCGCGUUGGAUUAGCUAGUUGGUGGGGUAACGGCCCACCAAGGCGACGAUCCAUAGCCGGCCUGAGAGGGUGAACGGCCACAUUGGGACUGAGACACGGCCCAGACUCCCACGGGAGGAAGCAGUGGGGAAUAUUGCACAAUGGGGGAAACCCUGAUGCAGCGACGCCGCGUGAAGGAAGAAGUAUCUCGGUAUGUAAACUUCUAUCAGCAGGGAAGAUAGUGACGGUACCUGACUAAGAAGCCCCGGCUAACUACGUG